rnacentral:tRNA from 1 species
CCUUGCCGGCCGGACUGGCCGCCGCGCCGCCGUUGCGGACGGUGGCGGACACGGUGAUCUCGUCCGACUCGACGGGCGAGGCC